AGUGAACGCUGGCGGCGUGCUCAACACAUGCAAGUCGAACGAGAACGGAAUAUAGCUUGCUAUAUUUGUCAGCUAAGUGGCGCACGGGUGAGUAAUGUAUAGAUAACCUGCCCUUAAGAAAGGAAUAACAGUUGGAAACGACUGCUAAUGCCCUAUAUGCCUUUAAUACAUAAGUAUGCAAGGGAAGCGCUUUAGUGCUUAAGGAUGGGUCUGUAUGGUAUCAGCUUGUUGGUGAGGUAAUGGCUCACCAAGGCUAUGACGCCUAACUGGUUUGAGAGGAUGAUCAGUCACACUGGAACUGAGACACGGUCCAGACUCCUACGGGAGGCAGCAGUGGGGAAUAUUGCACAAUGGACGAAAGUCUGAUGCAGCAACGCCGCGUGGAGGAUGACACAUUUCGGUGCGUAAACUCCUUUUAUAUAGGAAGAUAAUGACGGUACUAUAUGAAUAAGCACCGGCUAACUCCGUGCCAGCAGCCGCCGUAA
rnacentral:rRNA from 1 species